rnacentral:misc_RNA from 1 species
UGGGUUGGUUGGAUCCUUGCUUGUGCAGCGACGACCGCUCUUGCAUCCCUUUUCAUUCUUGUUCCAAGUGCAAUAUGGCUUUGGACCAAUUCGGUUGCCUGUGUUGUAUACCUACGUUGAUGGAAUUUGCUCGUCCAAUCACCCCUUAUUCGCCUUGUGCUGCUUAUGCGGUGCGGGUUGAACCACGCAGUGUCCUUUGUUGUCCGUUCCUGCCCCGCGUUCCCGCGACCCAUGAAAUGGCCAAUGAUGUGGCACUCGAAUUCUCGGAUACGGAACCUUAAGCGGGCAAUGGGUCUUUGGCCUUGUUUUGCCCAAACUAAGUGUUAUAGCUUCUUAUGAACGACUGUCGCGCCCGUUUUAACCUGAGGAUACUUUCGGUCCGACUGGCUCAUGCGGUGCCGACGUUGAAAAGGAAUGCUAC